UUAGAGUUUGAUCCUGGCUCAGGAUGAACGCUAGCUACAGGCUUAACACAUGCAAGUCGAGGGGAAACGAUAUUGGAAGCUUGCUUCCGAUAGGCGUCGACCGGCGCACGGGUGAGUAACGCGUAUCCAACCUGCCCACCACUUGGGGAUAACCUUGCGAAAGUAAGACUAAUACCCAAUGAUAUCUCUAGAAGACAUCUGAAAGGGAUUAAAGAUUUAUCGGUGAUGGAUGGGGAUGCGUCUGAUUAGCUUGUUGGCGGGGUAACGGCCCACCAAGGCGACGAUCAGUAGGGGUUCUGAGAGGAAGGUCCCCCACAUUGGAACUGAGACACGGUCCAAACUCCUACGGGAGGCAGCAGUGAGGAAUAUUGGUCAAUGGGCGAGAGCCUGAACCAGCCAAGUAGCGUGCAGGAUGACGGCCCUAUGGGUUGUAAACUGCUUUUAUAAGGGAAUAAAGUGAGCCUCGUGAGGCUUUUUGCAUGUACCUUAUGAAUAAGGACCGGCUAAUUCCGUGCCAGCAGCCGCGGUAAUACGGAAGGUCCGGGCGUUAUCCGGAUUUAUUGGGUUUAAAGGGAGCGUAGGCCGGAGAUUAAGCGUGUUGUGAAAUGUAGAUGCUCAACAUCUGCACUGCAGCGCGAACUGGUUUCCUUGAGUACGCACAAAGUGGGCGGAAUUCGUGGUGUAGCGGUGAAAUGCUUAGAUAUCACGAAGAACUCCGAUUGCGAAGGCAGCUCACUGGAGCGCAACUGACGCUGAAGCUCGAAAGUGCGGGUAUCGAACAGGAUUAGAUACCCUGGUAGUCCGCACGGUAAACGAUGGAUGCCCGCUGUUGGUCUGAAUAGGUCAGCGGCCAAGCGAAAGCAUUAAGCAUCCCACCUGGGGAGUACGCCGGCAACGGUGAAACUCAAAUGAAUUGACGG
rnacentral:rRNA from 1 species